rnacentral:ncRNA from 1 species
ACAAAGGUUCGGUCCUGACUUUUCUAUCAGCUCUAGCUAAAUUUACACAUGCAAGUAUCCGCAUCCCUGUGAGAAUGCCCUUUAAUUCCUCCAAGGAAAAAGGAGCUGGUAUCAGGCACAAACCUUUUAGCCCAAGACACCUUGUUCAGCCACACCCCCAAGGGAAUCCAGCAGUGAUAGACAUUAAGCAAUAAGUGAAAACUUGACUCAGUUAAAGCUAAGAAGGCCGGUAAAACUCGUGCCAGCCACCGCGGUUAUACGAGAGGCCUAAGUUGAUAGCCAACGGCGUAAAGAGUGGUUAAGGAAACCCUAAAACUAAAGCCGAACAUUUUCACUGCCGUUUAACGCAUCCGAAAAUAUGAAGCCCCACCACGAAAGUGGCUUUAAUCUACCUGACCCCACGAAAGCUGUGAAACAAACUGGGAUUAGAUACCCCACUAUGCACAGUCGUAAACUUUGAUAGAAAGCGUUACAACCUCUAUCCGCCAGGGUAUUACGAGCUUUAGCUUAAAAUCCAAAGGAUUUGGCGGUGCUUUAGACCCACCUAGAGGAGCCUGUUCUACAACCGAUAACACCCGUUAAACCUCACCCUCCCUUGUUUGUAUCGCCGUCAUACUGCUAUAAACCGCCGUAUACUGCUUUAUACCGCCUAUAUACCGCCGUCGUCAGCCCACCCUGUGAAGGACUCGUAGUAAGCAAAAUCAGUACAACUCAAAACGCCAGGUCGAGGUGUAGCGCAUGAGAGGGCAAGAGAUGGGCUACAUUUCCUAAAUAUAGGACAUACGAAAGGUACAAUGAAAUACGUACUCAGAAGGAGGAUUUAGAAGUAAGCAGAAAACAGAGUGUUCUGCUGAAGCUGGCCCUGAAGCAAGCACAUACCGCCCGUCAUUCUCUCCAAAAACAUUAACCAAUAUAACUAAUAAGAUUAAAGUACCAAAGGGGAGACAAGUCGUAACAUGGUAAGUGUACCGGAAGGUGCACUUGGUAAA